CUCCGGUUGAUCCUGCCGGACCCGACUGCUAUCGGAUUGAGAUUUAGCCAUGCGAGUUGAACGUCUUCUGACUGCAGGAGGCGUAGCAUACGGCUCAGUAACACGUAGUCAACCUGCCCUGGAGACGUGGAUAACCCCGGGAAACUGGGAUUAAUCCACGAUAGGUCACCUCAUCUGGAAGGAGAGAUGGCCCAAAGGGGAGCUGUGAGCAUGUUUCACUACUAUCGCUCCAGGAUGGGACUGCGGCCGAUCAGGCUGUUGGCGGGGUAAAGGCCCACCAAACCUGUAACCGGUACGGGCUUUGGGAGAAGGAGCCCGGAGAUGGACACUGAGAGAAGGGUCCAGGUCCUACGGGGCGCAGCAGGCGCGAAACCUUCGCAAUGCGCGAAAGCGUGACGAGGUUAGUCCGAGUGGCUUCCGCUGAGGAGGUCUUUUGCUGGCUCUAAAAAGGCUGGAGAAUAAGGGGAGGGCAAGCCUGGUGUCAGCCGCCGCGGUAAUACCAGCUCCUCGAGUGGUCGGGGCGAUUAUUGGGCCUAAAGCAUCCGUAGCCGGUUCAGUACGUCUUCUGCAAAAUCCAAUCGCUUAACGAUUGGCCCGCAGGAGAUACCGCUGGACUAGGAGGCGGGAGAGGUGGACGGUACUCCACGGGUAGGGGUAAAAUCCUUUGAUCCGUGGAAGACCACCAGUGGCGAAGGCGGUCCACCAGAACGCGCUCGACGGUGAGGGAUGAAAGCUGGGGGAGCGAACCGGAUUAGAUACCCGGGUAGUCCCAGCCGUAAACGAUGCGAGCUAGAUGAUCCAAUCGCAAAUCGCGAUUGGAGUGUCGCAGGGAAGCCGUUAAGCUCGCCGCCUGGGGAGUACGGUCGCAAGGCUGAAACUUAAAGGAUUGGCGGGGGAGCA
rnacentral:rRNA from 1 species